AUGCAGCAAAGGAUGUACAUCCAGUUGAUAGGACUGGGUGGACUUCUCAAGACAGCUAGCAUCAAAAUCAGACGUGUACUGUGCAUGGCCAUCGCUAAUUCAUAUGAUGCAGAGCAGGAUGCCUUUAUCAUCAACAGGAGACCAUGUAGGAUCACACUAGAAGAUGUAGCGCAUAUAACAGGCAUGCCCUGCCAUGGGAAGAAGCACGUCCCUUCAAAUCUUGAUGAAAAUAUGGAGUUGUGGAAGAAACUGAAAGACCGUAAUGACACCAAAAUAACUUUCAAAGGAUUGCUAGCCAAGAUGAAAGGCGACAGCACACCAAAAUUUUGUCAGGCCAUUUGUCUUGUACACUAUAGGCAAAUAUGUAUGCCGAACAAAAGAGGAGUAUGUGGAUAA
rnacentral:rRNA from 1 species